AUAAAUUGAUGGUAUUAAUGUAAAUAUUGAAAAUUAUUGACGGUUGUAAAAAGAUUUGUUAUUUUUUUUUGAAAUAAAGGGAAUUUCAUUACAUCAAAUCCAAUAAAAAACCAUCAUAAAGGAAAGAAGGAGGACUAUCCCAUUCUUUCGGACCAAACAAAGAACCAGCUGCUCUAGGAAGAGCAUAUGGAACUUGAUUCGCUGAACUUCUAGCAAAAAUAAACUUAUAACACUUGAGCUCUUUGGAAAGAGUUAAACAAUCACUAAAGAUAAUAAAAGAAACCAUAAGAAUCUGAAUAGAGACAAUGAAGAGCAAGAGACCUCUUGUCGUUCAAAACCAUAGUAUUGCGUGAUACUAGAUAUUCCAACAAAGAUGCUGCCAUAUUCAACAUGUCCUUAUUUACCCACCUAACCAACUCACCCCCCCACUCACCAAAGCAAAAAACAGCACCAAGGUAAAACCCUACAGGUGAAGAUAACCAGACUUCCCUUGUGUAGGUUCACGCCACUAAUGCAUGUAAUUUGUCCUCAACCAAAAGAUUGCACCCUUCGCAUCAUCUAGAGACCUUAACUCCUCUCUAAUAAAGUCGGGCAUUGCAAGGUAAGCUGCCAGAGCAUGCCCUCCAAAUUAGAACACGAGCUCUAGAAGGAGCUUGCAACCUCCAGAUAGAAUUCCAUGGCAUAUGGUUAGUCAAAUUUAUAUACCAUCUUGGGAAUUGGCUAUUGGGGGGGAACAUGAGCCUACUACUAUUCUAAUGUAGAAAUAGAUGAACUAACCAGCUGAAGAGCAAGAGACCUCUUCUUGUUCAAAACUAUAUUAUUGCGUGAUACUAGAUAUUCCAACAAAGAUGCUGCCAUAUUCAACAUGUCCUUAUUUACCCACCUAACCAACUCACUCCCCCACUCACCGAAGUAAAAAAACAGCACUAAGGUAAAACCCUACAGGUAAAGAUAACCAGACUUCCCUUGUGUAGGUUCACGCCACUAAUGCAUGUAAUUUGUCCUCAACCAAAAGAUUGUACCCUUCGCAUCAUCUAGAGACCUUAACUCCUCUCUAAUAAAGUCAGGCAUUGCAAGGUAAGCUGCCAGAGCAUGCCCUCCAAAUUAGAACACGAGCUCUAGAAAGAGCUUGCAACCUCUAGAUAGAAUUCCAUGGCAUAUGGUUAGUCAAAUUUAUAUACCAUCUUGAGAGGUAUCUCGGAGGAGGCGGUAACCACUUUGUACUUAGGAAACGCCAUGUUUAUUAUGAAGCCAGACUAAUCCAUUAGGUAUACAUCGAAGGCUUAAGGGGAUACUGAUUGUUACAAGACACAUCUCUAGGCUCAAACAUGUCCUGCAAAAUAUUAAUGUUCCAACCACAUCUAUCAACUAGCUUUAAAGACCUUAUAGUAGAAUGUCCCAGACAUAGGGGUGGGAACGAGGCCACUCGAGUCUGGUCUUUACUCAAUAGCCAUGAAUUUGUCCAAAUGUUAACCGAAAAGCCAUCACCAAUACGAACACGAGCUCUAGCUUUUAAAAGACUUUGAGCUAACAUUGCACUUCUCCAUACAUAACUAGGAUUAGCAUUCAAUUUUGCUUCCAGAAAAUAGCAAGAUGGAUACUACCUUACUUUAUAUAUUUUGGCAACCAAGGACUAAGGAUUUGAGAGCAGAUGCCAGCCCUGUUUGGCUAGUAAAGAUAAGUUGAAAUCUUACAACUGACGAAAACCAAGCCUGCCAAUAGAUGGAUAACAUACCCUUUCCCAUCUCAUUCAUCGGAUACCAACAUUUGAUCCAUUAUCCCACCAAUAUGCAUUCAUCAGACGCUCAAAGUCUUCACAAAGAGAAUGAGGAGGGGCAAAAACAUUCAUGAUGUAAGUUGAAACAACCUAUGCUAUUACUUUUAACAAUAUCUCCUUACCAGCCCUUGAUAAGAACCUUUUAUUCCAACCAUGUACCCAUUGCAACACUUUUUACUUAACAAAUGAGAAGACGUCAGAUUUGUCCUGCCCAAUAAGUGAAGGCAUACCAAGGUACUUUUCCUUGCCCGUAUUAAGAGGGACCCUAAGUGUGGAACAGAUCCUAUCUCACAUGUCAAGAGAGACAUUGCCACUAAAGGAGACAAAUGAUUUUGAGAAAUUUACUACUUAACCCGAUGCUUGCUUAUAGAUUUUCAAACAUUUAAUAAUUCUGCCAUAUUCCUCUAAGUCAGCCCUGAAGAAGAAAUAGCUAUCGUUGGCAAAGAAUAAAUGUGGGAUAGUCGGUGCCGCCCUUGCCACUUUACAACCAUGAAUAUGACCAGCUCUCUCCAACCGGCUAAGCAUAUCUGACAGGACUUCCGGGCAGAUAAUAAAGAGGUAAGGCGAUAGGGGAUCGCCUUGAAACAAUACCUUCUAAGGAAUGAUCAGUCCCAUCUCUUUACCAUUAGUAACCACAGUAUAUGAAAUAGAGGAAACACACAUUAGAAUCAGGUUCACAAACUUAGCCUCAAAUCCCAGCCGAAUCAUCAUAAACUUGAGAAAAUCCCAUUCUAUUCUAUCAUAGGCCUUUGAUAUAUCAAUCUUUAAAGCAGCCACCCCAUGCAUCUCUUCUUUCUUGUGUUUAAGAUAGCGAUUUACCUCAAAAGUGAUCAUUAUGUUAUCCGUAAUUAGUUUUCUAGGAAUUGAGGCACUCUAGGAUUCGAAUAGAAUGUGGGGGAGAACUGCUUUUAGUCGGUUGGCCAAAACUUUUGCAACAACCUUAUAUACUACAUUUCAUAGCAAGAUUGAUCUCAGAUCAUACAUCUAUUCCACAUGCUUCUUUUUUUGGAAUCAACAUAAUAUAAGUGGCAUUAAGUUCAGAGGGGAGACUGCCGGUGUUUAAGAAUUGCAAGCAUGCUUCAGUUAAACCAUCGCUUGUUAAAUCCCAAAAAUAUUGGAAGAAAUUGGGGUUCAUUCCAUCCGGACCAGGAGCCUUGUCCUAAUGCACGGAGAAAAGGGCUUAUUUUACUUCUACUGCUUCGAAAGGCCGAGUAAGCUCAUUGUUUUGGUCUUCCGAAAGCUUCCUAGGAAUAUAGUCAAACUCAUCAGAUAUGAUACAACCCCUAGACUUGAUAAAUCAGUGAAGUACGAGGUGACCUGAUAUCUUUGAUAUUACACUAUAGAGAGGCUCUAUAGUCGUCUGAUGCAAUCUCCUACUCAAUAAACAGUCCCAAUGCUACUCUAACUGGGGAAUGCUCAUCAUAUAUAUAUGUCCCCCUAACCGAAAUGAAAUAGACUCUGGCUGAGACCAGACUCUAAUCUGAUUCUGGAGGAAGAAGGUGGAGGCAAACUCAAAUGUGAGCUCUCUGUAGGUAGGCUCCACUAUGCUGAAAAAGGCCUCAAAAGGCUGUGUCUAAAGAAGCUCUCGAACCACAGCAGCUAGUCCUACUAUCUCCAAUGCCUGCUAGUCUAUACAUCUCCCACAGCCUAACUAUUUGUACUGCAGCUGCUGGUAACGAGCCUCGUGAGUGGGGCUCUGAAACUGUAAAAGUCUGUGUCAUGCGGGAGCUGGAGCUCUAAGGGCAGGUGGAGCAGGUGCUUGAGGUGCAAGUGGUGCAGGCUGUACAGGCAGAAGUGGUCGCACAGGUCUAAAGGUCUCGCCUGUACGCUUUCUCUUGGAGACACCCGUCUUCCGAGGUCUCUCCUACUGAUCAGCUAUAGUACUUGCAUGGAAAUUAAUCAAAACUCUUGCCAAAACUGUAAUUCUAGCACCAAACAGACAACCAUUACAAUAACAGCAGCAGUUUAACAGCAAUUUAACAUCACAAGCACAUCUAUUACGCAACCUCAACACAUUUCAUCAUAGCAAAACUCAAAAUGAUAAAGCAUAAUAUCACAGCAGCAUAACACAACAUCACAGCAGCAUAACAUUUUCAUUAUGCAUUCCCAGCACACUCGCAUUAGUCAAUUUCCAAUUCAACAGCAUAAUGACUAAUUCAUCAAACCAGCUCAUAAUCCAGCAAGUUCAAACAUACAAAACAGCAGCAAUAGGGCAAGAAAAGAAGAAAUUAAAAAUAUGAACAAUAGUAACGAAUAAAGCAGAAUAAGGCAAUAAUAGCAAAUCAAAAUAAAAGAAACGCAAGAAACUCAACGAAACAACGAAUAAAAUUCAACAAAAGCGACGAAUUUAACAAAAUAGGAAAAUUAACAAGGAGAUUAAUGAAAAUAAGAAACAAUGAAAUUCACAGAAAUAACGAAGAAGAUAACAGAAGAAAAUCGAGGAAACAAAAGCAAUCAACAAAAAAAAUCGAGGUAGA
rnacentral:lncRNA from 1 species